rnacentral:misc_RNA from 1 species
GAUGAAGAACGUAGUGAAAUGCGAUAAGUAGUGUGAAUUGCAGAAUUCAGUGAAUCAUCGAGUCUUUGAACGCACAUUGCGCCCCCUGGUAUUCCGGGGGGCAUGCCUGUCCGAGCGUCAUUGCUGCCCUCAAGCACGGCUUGUGUGUUGGGCCCCCGUCCCCGGUUUCCCCCGGGGACGGGCCCGAAAGGCAGCGGCGGCACCGCGUCCGGUCCUCGAGCGUAUGGGGCUUUGUCACCCGCUCUGUAGGCCCGGCCGGCGCCAGCCGACACCCAACUUUAUUUCUAAGGUUGACCUCGGAUCAGGUAGGGAUACCCGCUGAACUUAAGCAUAUCAAUAAGCGGAGGA